rnacentral:rRNA from 1 species
UCAAGCUAGAAAGAGCGCAAGGGGAAUGCCUUGGCAUCAGGAGCCGAUGAAGGACGUGACAAGCUGCGAUAAGUCUGGGGGAGCUGCACAUAAGCAUUGAUCCCGGAAUUUCCGAAUGGGGAAACCCGGCGGAGCAAUACUCCGUCAACCUGCGUUGAACAAAAUAGGCGUAGGUAGGGAACCGCCUGAACUGAAACAUCUAAGUAGGGCGAGGAAGAGAAAUCAACAGAGAUUCCGCUAGUAGUGGCGAGCGAACGCGGAAGAGGGCAAACCGGUGGAUUUAUUCACCGGGGUUGUGGACCGGCGCACGGCAGAAUAAGUUAGCUGAACGGUAUGGGAAGGCCGACCAUAGCGGGUGAUAGUCCCGUAAGCGAAAACUGAGUUCUGUCAGCUGGGAUCCAGAGUACCGCAGGACACGUGAAACCCUGUGGGAAACCGGGGGGACCACCCUCCAACCCUAAAUACUACCUGAUGACCGAUAGAGGAGCAGUACCGUGAGGGAAAGGUGAAAAGGACCCCGGGAGGGGAGUGAAAUAGAACCUGAAACCUUGUGCUUACAAGCACUCAAAGCACGUUAAGGUGUGAUGAGGUACUUUUUGUAGAACGGUCCGGCGAGUUAUUGUAUGCAGCAAGCUUAAGGUGUUCAGCACCGGAGGCGAAGCGAGAGCGAGUCUGAAUAGGGCGUAUGAAGUUGUAUGCAAUAGACCCGAAACCAGGUGACCUAUCCAUGGGCAGGUUGAAGUGGGGGUAAAACCCCAUGGAGGACCGAACCGACCCCCGUUGCAAUGGUGGCGGAUGACCUGUGGAUAGCGGAGAAAUUCUAAUCGAACUUGGAGAUAGCUGGUUCUCCCCGAAAUAGCUUUAGGGCUAGCGUUGAUUUAGAUUACCGGAGGUAAAGCACUGAAUGGGCUAGGGGCUGAUAAAGUUACUGAACCCUAUCAAACUCUGAAUGCCGGAUAAUUGAUGGUCAGCAGUCAGUCUACGUGAGAUAAGUCUCGUGGACAAAAGGGAAACAGCCCAGACCCACAGCUAAGGUCCCAAAGAUACGCUAAGUGGAAAACGAUGUGGAGUUGCGAAAACAACCAGGAUGUUGGCUUAGAAGCAGCCACUCAUUAAAAGAGUGCGUAAUAGCUCACUGGUCGAGUGACUCUGCGCGGAAAAUAUAACGGGGCUAAGCGUAACACCGAAGCUUGGGCUGCACAGCAAUGUGCGGGGUAGGGGAGCGUCGAAUAUGGGGUGAAGUCGCAGCGGAAGCAGCGGUGGACUGUAUUCGAGUGAGAAUGCCGGAAUGAGUAGCGAGAAUUAUGUGGGAAUCAUAAUGGCCGAAAAUCUAAGGUUUCUUGGGGAAGGUUCGUCCGCCCAAGGUAAGCCGGGAGCUAAGGCGAGGCCGAGAGGCGUAGUCGAUGCACAUACGGUUGAAAUUCCGUAGCCACCGAAACUUAAGCUAGAAGGACACUUGGAGCUAUCCAGACCCGGGCGUUGGUUGACCCGGGCGAAAGGGACCGAAAAUAAGUAGGGAAGCUGGAGAAUGACGAGGCGAGAAAAGUUCUAGUGUAUGCUAAGGUGCCCGUACCGCAAACCGACACAGGUAGAUGAGGAGAGAAUCCUAAGGCCAACGGGAGAAGGGUUGUUAAGGAACUCGGCAAAAUUACCCCGUAACUUCGGGAUAAGGGGAGCUCCCUAAGGGGAGCCGCAGAGAAUAGGCCCAAGCGACUGUUUACCAAAAACACAGGUCUAUGCUAAAUCGAAAGAUGACGUAUAUGGGCUGACGCCUGCCCGGUGCUGGAAGGUUAAGAGGAGGGCUUAGCGCAAGCGAAGGUCUGAAUUGAAGCCCCAGUAAACGGCGGCCGUAACUAUAACGGUCCUAAGGUAGCGAAAUUCCUUGUCAGGUAAGUUCUGACCCGC